rnacentral:rRNA from 1 species
UCGCGGCCUAUCAGCUUGUUGGUGAGGUAACGGCUCACCAAGGCGACGACGGGUAGCUGGUCUGAGAGGGCGAUCAGCCACACUGGGACUGAGACACGGCCCAGACUCCUACGGGAGGCAGCAGUGGGGAAUCUUGCUCAAUGGGCGCAAGCCUGAAGCAGCAACGCCGCGUGAGGGAUGAAGGCCUUCGGGUUGUAAACCUCUUUCAGCAGGGACGAAGAUGACGGUACCUGCAGAAGAAGCCCCGGCCAACUACGUGCCAGCAGCCGCGGUAAUACGUAGGGGGCGAGCGUUGUCCGGAUUUAUUGGGCGUAAAGAGCUCGUAGGCGGUUUGGUAAGUCGGGUGUGAAAGUCCGAGGCUCAACCUCGGGAAGCCACCCGAUACUGCUAUGACUUGAGUCCGGUAGAGGAGUGUGGAAUUCCUGGUGUGGCGGUGAAAUGCGCAGAUAUCAGGAGGAACACCAAUGGUGAAGGCAGCACUCUGGGCCGGUACUGACGCUGAGGAGCGAAAGCGUGGGUAGCAAACAGGAUUAGAUACCCUGGUAGUCCACGCCGUAAACGGUGGGCACUAGGUGUGGGGGACAUUCCACGUUCUCCGUGCCGUAGCUAACGCAUUAAGUGCCCCGCCUGGGGAGUACGG